rnacentral:rRNA from 1 species
CGAGAUUCCCCCAGUAGCGGCGAGCGAACGGGGAGCAGCCCAGAGCCUGAAUCAGUAUGUGUGUUAGUGGAAGCGUCUGGAAAGGCGCGCGAUACAGGGUGACAGCCCCGUACACAAAAAUGCACAUAUUGUGAGCUCGAUGAGUAGGGCGGGACACGUGGUAUCCUGUCUGAAUAUGGGGGGACCAUCCUCCAAGGCUAAAUACUCCUGACUGACCGAUAGUGAACCAGUACCGUGAGGGAAAGGCGAAAAGAAC